GCUUAUAACUCGCUCACUGAACCAUUCAUAUCACCCGAACCCGCUCCGGCGUGUGUUUAAAGGUCUCCUCUGCGGCAGGGCUCCCAGAGGAAACCAAUGCAGACAAGGGGAGAACAUGCACAGAAAGGACCAGGACUGCUCCACCUAAGAAUCAAAUCAAGGACCUUCUUGCUGUGAGACUGUUGCAGCAGGUGAGGUCGGAGACUACUGACAGCAAAGUUGGCCAUGUCAAUCUUCAUUUUGUCCAGCACUGCGAAAAUCGACCU